AGAAAGGGACUACACGCAAGACUACUACGCUACGGCGACGCCAGAUUACGACGAAGACAAUUCAACAAUUGAUUACUUCUUCUGGAGUAACACCAGCAUUAAAAGUGAAGUAUAUGAAAUCCUUGGAAUGGACAAUCCCCCUUCAGGUGCCAGUCUCUUCCACUCACCUGGGACCCCCCCCGCCUGCUGCCUGCUCCUGAUCUGCCUGGCCCUGGCCCAGCUCCUGCAGCUCCUAUGAGCAGACGUCUGGACCGAUGGACAGACGAAGAUGGAGCCACUGAACACGCUGGACGCUGGGACAUGGCAGGAAGUCGACUGGAAGGAGUUGGACUUUGCAUCAGGGCGCCCCCGCACGCACUUUUCCGAGGACAUUACCAAACAGAUUGUCUAGAGCUUCUGUAAAUAAAUUAUCACUAAAUAAAUAUUCUCUCCAAACCA